GAAUUCGCCCUUAGAGUUUGAUUUUGGCUCAGGAUGAACGCUGGCGGCGUGCUUAACACAUGCAAGUCGAACGAAGAAGGUUAGAAUGAGAGCUUCGGCAGGAUUUCUUUCCAUCUUAGUGGCGGACGGGUGAGUAACGUGUGGGCAACCUGCCCUGUACUGGGGAAUAAUCAUUGGAAACGAUGACUAAUACCGCAUGUGGUCCUCGGAAGGCAUCUUCUGAGGAAGAAAGGAUUUAUUCGGUACAGGAUGGGCCCGCAUCUGAUUAGCUAGUUGGUGAGAUAACAGCCCACCAAGGCGACGAUCAGUAGCCGACCUGAGAGGGUGAUCGGCCACAUUGGGACUGAGACACGGCCCAAACUCCUACGGGAGGCAGCAGUGGGGAAUAUUGCACAAUGGGCGAGAGCCUGAUGCAGCAACGCCGCGUGAAGGAUGAAGGGUUUCGGCUCGUAAACUUCUAUCAAUAGGGAAGAAACAAAUGACGGUACCUAAAUAAGAAGCCCCGGCUAACUACGUGCCAGCAGCCGCGGUAAUACGUAGGGGGCAAGCGUUAUCCGGAAUUACUGGGUGUAAAGGGAGCGUAGGCGGCAUGGUAAGCCAGAUGUGAAAGCCUUGGGCUUAACCCGAGGAUUGCAUUUGGAACUAUCAAGCUAGAGUACAGGAGAGGAAAGCGGAAUUCCUAGUGUAGCGGUGAAAUGCGUAGAUAUUAGGAAGAACACCAGUGGCGAAGGCGGCUUUCUGGACUGAAACUGACGCUGAGGCUCGAAAGCGUGGGGAGCAAACAGGAUUAGAUACCCUGGUAGUCCACGCCGUAAACG
rnacentral:rRNA from 1 species